rnacentral:lncRNA from 1 species
CUUUUCCUAGGAAUAGAUAAUCGUAGGCUGGCAAAUGAUCCACUCUUCUUUGAUCUGCUUCCAGAUCUGGUGACUGGAGCUGGCAUUGACUGUUGGAUUGGUCCCAUUUGGAUCCUACCAAGCAUUCAUGUCACAGCAGAGGAUGCUGGAAGCCAGCCUAUUCAGAGGCCUGAAGCAAUACAUGUGGUUGGAGCUGAAGUGCCCAAAGAAAAGCAACUUAGAUGAUUUUUAUCUUAAAGAUUACAUUAUCUUUCAAGCAGAUAGAUAUCAAAGAGAUUCACCUGGAACACAUCCAUAAACUGAAGGCAGAGAAAGCCUCCAGGAAGCUCCUAGCUGACCAGACUGUAGCCUGUGGGACUAAGAGCAAGGAAUCCCAGACCAUCCUGAAGAGCCACCCCAGGCUGAGGAAGAGAUACUCAAGGUUUUGUCCAAGGAGGAAAAGAUCAUGAAGUAAAAAUCAUCCUCUCUUAUUUGUACAUAGUGGUUUAGGCAUUUAUAUACAUCAAUCACUCAAUACAACAAGCCUUUAUCUGCCAUAAAGCUAAGAAAAGAAAUAAUUUUAUAAUUAGCCAAAGAAAAUAAGUGUUGAGUUUAAUUUUAAUAAGGAUUAGAUGAUAAAUUGGUUAUGCACUAUUUAUCUUGGCUGAACACACCCUGGUAGUAUAUAUAUGCACAAGGUAAAAAAACAGUUCUUAGGACUGCUUAGACCAAGACCUAGAAUCACCAUGGAUAGGUCAGCUUCUCCCUAUGGGUUGAGCACUGUCAGGAGGGUUAACAAGAGGUCAGCCUGGGUAUUGUGUGGUACUUAAUAUUUUAUACUAGAAUCUUUUUUACAGUACACACUUACUUUGCUAAUUCCAAUCAAAAGGAGAAAGGAGGAUUUUAUCUUAAGCAUUUAUUUUUUUUAAUUUUAUUCUUUUGUAGUUGUAGAUAGACAGCAUGCCUUUAUUUGUUUAUGUGGUGCUAAGGAUUGAACCCAGUGUUCAUUAAACCCAGUGCCUCACCUUGCUAGGCAAGUGCUGUGACACUGAACUAUAGCCCCAACACCUUAAGUAUUUAUUUUAAACAAACAUUUGAGCAAUAAGACUGACAAAAAAAAAUGUGGAUGUGUAACCGAU